rnacentral:lncRNA from 1 species
CCCCCCUCCCGCGCCACCGCCGUUCCCGAGGAUUGUCCUUGUCCCUGGAAUUUCGGGAAUGCCGGGAGGCUCCUGCGGCCUUGGGUGGCGUUUGGAGGCCACCGCGGGAGGAGCAGGGAGAUCGGGGACGGGGACACGGGACAGGGACGGGGACACGGGACAGGGACAGGGACACGGGGACAGGGACAUGGGGACAUUUGGGGGACACGGGGACAGUUGGGGACAUUGGGGACAGUUGGGGGACACGGGGACAUUUGGGGGACACGGGGACAGUUGGGGACAUUUGGGGGACACGGGGACAGUUGGGGGACACGGGGACAUGGGGGACACGGGGACAGUUGGGGACAUUUGGGGGACACGGGGACAUUUGGGGGACAUUUGGGGGACACGAAGGCGCUGCCACCUCUGAGUCAACAGGAUGUGUCACCCCACCCCCCCCCCCACCGGACGUGGCCCGGUGCCAGCGUCCCCUCGUGUCACUGUCACCUCCUGCCAGCGGCCCCUGUCCCCUUUGGCGUCCUCUUGAUCCCCGCUGUGUCACCCCUGUGUCCCCUGGGUGUCCCCCCAUGUCCCCUGGGUGUCACCCCUGUGUCCCCUGGGUGUCCUCCUUGUGUCCCUCUGUCCCCUGGGUGUCCCCCUGUCCCCUGGGUGUCCCCUGGGUGUCCCCCUGUCCCCUGGGUGUCCCCCCAUGUCCCCUGGGUGUCACCCCUGUGUCCCCUGGGGUGUUCCCGGGGUGUCCCCUGGGUGUCUCCCUGUCCCUUGAGGUGUCCUCCUUGUGUCCCUCUGUCCCUUGGGUGUCCCCUGGGUGUCCCCCUGUGUCCCCUGGGUGUCUCUCUGUCCCCUGGGGUGUCCCCCUGUCCCCUUGGUGUCCCCUGGGUGUCCCCCUGUGUCCCCUGGAUGUCCCCCUGUCCCUUGGGGUGUCCUCCCUGUCCCCUGGGUGUCCCCCUGGGUGUCCUCCUUGUGUCCCUCUGUCCCUUGGGUGUCCCCUGGAUGUCCCCCUGUCCCUUGGGGUGUCCUCCCUGUCCCGGGGUGUCCCCCUGUCCCCCCCCAGCCCCAUUCGUGGCCUGUCCCCGCCUCUGUCCCCUCCUUGUCCCCUCCUGUCGCCUCCUGGGCGUGCCAGGAAGCGGCUCCGCACCAGCGAUUCCCGGAAUUGGCCCCUUAACUUGGAAAACCGGGGAAAAAAAAAACAAAAAACAAAAAAAACGGGAAAAACACCCAGAAAUCGCCGGGAUCGGGAUGGGCACGGCCGGGAGACCCCCCCCCCCCCCCCCCCCCCCCCCCAAAAAUAAAACCAGGAGGAGGAGGAGGAGGGAGGUGCGGAAUUCCAGCGGGUUUUGCCACCCGGGAAGGUCCCAGUUCCUCCCAGUUCCUCCCAGUUCCCCCCCAACCCCUCCAGUUCAUUCCCCCACCCCUCAAAAUUCCCAAUUUCCCGAUUUUUUUUUUCCUGGGAUAUCCCCCCCCAAAAAAAACCUGCACCAGCACCCUCGUGACCCCAAGAGGGACACGAAAAUUCCCUUCGGGAUCCCCAAAUUCCCCCAAA